rnacentral:rRNA from 1 species
GCGCAAGCCUGAUCCAGCAAUGCCGCGUGUGUGAAGAAGGCCUGCGGGUUGUAAAGCACUUUAAGCAGGAAAGAAGGGUGGGGUGUUAAUACCAUCUCACAUUGACGUUACCUGCAGAAUAAGCACCGGCUAACUCCGUGCCAGCAGCCGCGGUAAUACGGAGGGUGCGAGCGUUAAUCGGAAUUACUGGGCGUAAAGCGCGCGUAGGCGGUUUGAUAAGUCUGAUGUGAAAGCCCUGGGCUUAACCUGGGAACUGCAUUGGAUACUGUCAGGCUCGAGUGUGGUAGAGGGUAGUGGAAUUUCCGGUGUAGCAGUGAAAUGCGUAGAGAUCGGAAGGAACACCAGUGGCGAAGGCGGCUACCUGGACCAACACUGACGCUGAGGUGC